rnacentral:rRNA from 1 species
GCUGAACGCUGACAGAAUGCUUAACACAUCAGCAAUUGAUUAGUGGCGGACGGGUGAGUAACGCGUAAAGAACUUGCCUCACAGCUAGGGACAACAUUUAGAAAUGAAUGCUAAUACCUAAUACUGUGAGAGAGCGUUGCGUCCCAUUAGCUAGUUGGAGAGUUAAAAGCUCACCAAGGCGUUGAUGGGUAGCCGGCCUGAGAGGGGGAACGGCCACAAGGGGACUGGGACACGGCCUGUACUCCUACGGGAGGCAGCAGUGGGGAAUAGUGGACAAUGGACCGAAGUCUGAUCAAGCAAUUCUGUGUGCAAGAUGAAGUUUUCGGAAUGUAAAGUGAUUUCAGUUGGGAAGCGGUACCAACAGAAGAAGUGACGGCUAAAUACGUGCCAGCAGCCGCGGUAAUUC